GAUCAGACGGACACCGGGUCAGACGAAGAUGCCGCCGUGUUCAAUAAUGGAGGAUGCAAGAUGAAGUGAAGUGAUCAAAUGUAUCACGUUCACACACAUAUCUGAGGAGAAACUCUCAGAUUGGAUGUUUCCACACGUCCAACCGGACACUGUGAAACCAAGCAAUUAGCCCGUGCUGACAGCCAGCUCGCCAGUUAACUCUGUGAAUGAAAACUCAUGGCUCCAGCUCUUCAGAGCUGCCCGAGCAUCUGCGCAUGGUCCUCAAGUACCAAGUUGAAAAGUUCAGCUCCCAUUUCCAGGAAGCUCCUGCUCUUCUCAUUGAGGCCCAAUACAAUGUGGCCCAAAGACUGGGGCUUUAAAUACAGACGCCAAGUGUUUUUUUUUUAACCUUGUGUGUGUGUGUAGGGUCCUUCAGCACUCCAGCUCUUUAUUAACAGGCCUGUGGACAUUAAUGGGCCACAAAGACGCUUUCUCUCCAACGUAAACAAAGAAUUAUGUCAUCAAUGUGAUCUUUUAAUGACACAAGAGGGACGCCUAUUGUAAUAUUCAUACCGUGUACUGUACAUGAGGUCAAAUUAAAUGUUCAUUGGGCCUCAAGUUGAGGACACUGGCCUC